CGGCCCAGACUCCUACGGGAGGCAGCAGUAGGGAAUCUUCGGCAAUGGACGGAAGUCUGACCGAGCAACGCCGCGUGAGUGAAGAAGGUUUUCGGAUCGUAAAGCUCUGUUGUAAGAGAAGAACGAGUGUGAGAGUGGAAAGUUCACACUGUGACGGUAUCUUACCAGAAAGGGACGGCUAACUACGUGCCAGCAGCCUCGGUAAUACGGAGGAUGCAAGUGUUAUCCGGAAU
rnacentral:rRNA from 1 species